UGACACGGAAAGAACGGGACACCAGCACACACGCAAAGGACGGUUUUUAUUGGGGUCUGGUCGUAGGAGAGCAGUUUUGUACUGACCAACACACAGAAGCAGCUUAGCUGUGCCAAAAUAAUCCGUUAAAAAAAUACUGGCGGCAAGAACCGAGUGUGGCACACCCGCCACGACGGGGCUGUAAACUCCGGGACAGUCCGUGAGGAGCGAGGCCACAGCUCAUGGCACCCUCCUCCCCACAAUAAAUAUGGAAAGAGCCAAGUACAUAAAACAAGGAAUGAUCUCAUCGAUACAAUAUCUAAAGUUAUUUACAGAUCCUGGCUUUGCUUACCAUUAAUUAAUUACACAUUUUGGACAGGUUCUCUUUCGAUCAUUUCCUUCAUCGCGAGUAGCUGUUCGUGUGAAUCUGCUCCUUUUUGUUUUAAAGGACCUGGUGAGGCACUGGAAGUGCUCACAAAUCCCCUCUCCGAGGAUGCUCCUGCUUUAUUCUGUUUUUCACACACUUUUUUUUUUGUGCCAUCUCACCCACUGUCUGCUCUCUCCCUUUCCCUGAGGAGAUGCUACCCAACAGCAAAGCCUCUUCCCAGCCCAUCUCCUUUUCCAGCCUGGAAACACAGCGUGUCACACAAACCCAGAUCAACCUGGCCCCUGGACAAAGCCAUCUUCCUGCAGCUGUCCCCAGGUUCUCUGCCAAAAAAUCCCUGCCUGGACACACCCCAGGCCAGCAGCACUGUCCCCAGCACGGCACCUUUCCAGGGGUGACACUAAGGAGCCACAAUGCCACCAGCACUGCCAGCUCCCCCUUCCCUCCAGGCACAGCUUGGGCUACAGCUCACCCCAAAAUCCAGUGGGAUCAGAGAGGGAAACAGGGAAAAAAGGCAGAUAUUACUCCAGGGAGCACAGCAGGGAUCCCUCCCUGCCCCAGGCAGCCCCUCAGCGAGGAGAGAACUUCAGCAGCAGUGUGGCAAUGGAAAAUGCCACAUUUCACCCAGAAAUGCCACAGGGAUCGGCCCUGACCAGCAUAGACCCCCAGCCCCAGCACUGUGGAAACUGAGAGCACACAAUGUUACACCACAAGUACUCCUCAAACUGCACAGGCCAGGCUCACAACUGGAAUUAUUUUUAGGAACUGAGCGAACUGAUAACUUCAGGGCUAUUUCUGUACCGCACUGGGGACAGAGGUGCUGCCGUUGGCUCUGCAGAUGUGCCCAGAUGUGCCCAGCAGAAGCAGCUCCUGGAGAGAUGUGACACCAAGCAGGGUCCUGCCCUGGCCCUGGCUCCAGGACAGUGAUCUGGCACUGCUCCUGCCUCAGGAUCCUGCUUUAAGGACCAAGUGAUCCCCCUGGAUCACUCCAAACCCAUCUCCAAUGAGAAGAUUUUAGGUUCCUGAGCCCAGCCCUGUGUCCAGGCUCUGCCUCCACUCUCUCCUUCCCCUGGGAAUGACAGAGCUCUGCAAUUCCCUGAUGGAACUGAGCUGGAUCAAACACCAUGCUGACUCCAUGCCCCAAUUCAGGUCAUUAAUUCUCUUUAACUCAGCACAGAGUCCUGUGAAUAAACACUUGCUCUGGGAAUGCUGAGGGAUAAAG
ensembl:lncRNA